UACGUAGGGGGCUAGCGUUGUCCGGAAUCAUUGGGCGUAAAGCGCGUGUAGGCGGUUCGGUAAGUCCGCUGUGAAAGUCGGGGGCUCAACCCUCGAAUGCCGGUGGAUACUGUCGGACUAGAGUACGGAAGAGGAGUGUGGAAUUCCUGGUGUAGCGGUGAAAUGCGCAGAUAUCAGGAGGAACACCAAUGGCGAAGGCAGCACUCUGGGACGUGACUGACGCUGAGACGCGAAAGCGUGGGGAGCAAACAGG
rnacentral:rRNA from 1 species